rnacentral:rRNA from 1 species
UACGUAGGGUGCAAGCGUUAAUCGGAAUUAUUGGGCGUAAAGAGCUCGUAGGCGGUUUGUCGCGUCUGCCGUGAAAGUCCGGGGCUCAACUCCGGAUCUGCGGUGGGUACGGGCAGACUAGAGUGAUGUAGGGGAGACUGGAAUUCCUGGUGUAGCGGUGAAAUGCGCAGAUAUCAGUAGGAACACCGAUGGCGAAGGCAGGUCUCUGGGCAUUAACUGACGCUGAGGAGCGAAAGCAUGGGGAGCGAACAGG